AAAAAAAAAACCGAGUUCGUCGUUCCCGAAAAGCUCAUAAGCUCCAAAACCCUAAAAAAGGGUGAGAUUCUCCCCUCCUAUCCCCCUCUCCGCUCCGCUUCGUCCUCUUCUCCUCCGAAUAAGUUUCGAAACCCUCCUCGCAUGUGCAAGGACGAGGUCCUAAACCCUAAGAUCAAAGAUCGCAAGAGAAAGUAACUCCAAUGACAAUGUUGGAAUAGAGCGCUUUGAUCGCCUUAUAGGUUUCUUGUGGAUAUUUUUCAAUGCACCUCCAUCAUAAUUAGGUGUGUUUGAUCAACAGGUGUUAAACAGAACAAGCUGUUGAUCAAGUAACAAAGCCCAGCACAAUUUGCAAUUGGUGGUGCCCAAGAAACAAGAUUGAGACAUGUCUUAGAGAACAAAUUAUCCUAAGAACAUAUUCUCCAAAUACUGGUUUUCUACAUCACACCCUGAGCAACAGUAGCAUCAGAAUCACUCUUAAGCAUCAGAGGAGAGGAAAAGCAUGAUGUAGCUUUGAGAUGGAAAAGUAUAAGUGGCGAGCCUAGUCAAGUUACACUAUUGAUUGGGGGAUCUGAGUCAGGAACCUCAUACUUGAUCAGUGGCCAUUAGGCCCAACAAAGCAUUUAUUAGUACUAUUAUAUAUGGAUGGAUGCACCAUGGAAAUAAAUUUACCACUAGUUCAGGAAAAGAGAAAAUGACGAUGCAUGCUCUUUUAAAGGUCGCGACUUAUUGUUGAUGUAUUGUUAUUGUUGAUGUAUUGAUAAAUUUAUAUGGUAAU